UGGGGAAUAUUGCACAAUGGGCGAAAGCCUGAUGCAGCAACGCCGCGUGAGGGAUGAAGGCCUUCGGGUUGUAAACCUCUUUUAGCAGGGAAGAAGCGAAAGUGACGGUACCUGCAGAAAAAGCACCGGCUAACUACGUGCCAGCAGCCGCGGUAAUACGUAGGGUGCAAGCGUUGUCCGGAAUUAUUGGGCGUAAAGAGCUCGUAGGCGGUUUGUCGCGUCUGCUGUGAAAACCCGAGGCUCAACCUCGGACCUGCAGUGGGUACGGGCAGACUAGAGUGCGGUAGGGGAGACGGGAAUUCCUGGUGUAGCGGUGGAAUGCGCAGAUAUCAGGAGGAACACCGAUGGCGAAGGCACGUCUCUGGGCCGUAACUGACGCUGAGGAGCGAAAGCGUGGGGAGCGAACAGG
rnacentral:rRNA from 1 species